GACGAACGCUGGCGGCGUGCCUAAUACAUGCAAGUUGAGCGAUGAAGAUUGGUGCUUGCACCAAUUUGAAGAGCAGCGAACGGGUGAGUAACGCGUGGGGAAUCUGCCUUUGAGCGGGGGACAACAUUUGGAAACGAAUGCUAAUACCGCAUAACAACUUUAAACAUAAGUUUUAAGUUUGAAAGAUGCAAUUGCAUCACUCAAAGAUGAUCCCGCGUUGUAUUAGCUAGUUGGUGAGGUAAAGGCUCACCAAGGCGAUGAUACAUAGCCGACCUGAGAGGGUGAUCGGCCACAUUGGGACUGAGACACGGCCCAAACUCCUACGGGAGGCAGCAGUGGGGAAUCUUCGGCAAUGGACGAAAGUCUGACCGAGCAACGCCGCGUGAGUGAAGAAGGUUUUCGGAUCGUAAAACUCUGUUGGUAGAGAAGAACGUUGGUGGGAGUGGAAAGCUCAUCAAGUGACGGUAACUACCCAGAAAGGGACGGCUAACUACGUG
rnacentral:rRNA from 1 species